GCGGGGGUAGCAAAGCCUGGUCAAAAUUCAUAAAACAAUGAUUUUAUGAAUGACCAAAUGCGCAAGGUUGAGGUUUUAUGCAAAAGCCUUGUCCCUCAGUGGGUUCGUGGGUUCAAAUCCCAUCCCCCGCA
rnacentral:tRNA from 1 species